CCUACGGGUGGCAGCAGUGGGGAAUAUUGGUCAAUGGGCGGAAGUCUGAACCAGCCACGUAGCGUGAAGGAUGAAGGCCCUCUGGGUGUUAAGCUUCUUUUAUAGAGGAGUAAAACAAGGCACGUGUACCUUUUUGCAUGUACUUUAUCAAUACAGAUGCGCUAACUACGGGCCAGCAGCCGAGGUAAUACGGAGGAGACGAGCGUUAUCCGGAUUUAGUGGGUUUAAAGGGCGCGUAGAUGGGUUGUUAAGUCAGUUGUGAAAGUUCGCGGCUCAACCGUAAAAUUGCAAUUGAUACUGGGAGGCUUGAGUACAGGUGAGGCAGGCGGAAUUCGUGGUGUAGCGGUGAAAUGCGUAGAUAUCAGGAAGAACACCGAUGGCGAAGGCAGCCUACUAAACUGUGACUGACAUUGAGGCUCGAAAGCGUGGGUAGCAAACAGGAUUAGAUACCCUAGUAGUC
rnacentral:rRNA from 1 species